rnacentral:rRNA from 1 species
UGCAGUCGAGCGGUAGAGAGGUGCUUGCACCUCUUGAGAGCGGCGGACGGGUGAGUAAUGCCUAGGAAUCUGCCUGAUAGUGGGGGAUAACGUCCGGAAACGGACGCUAAUACCGCAUACGUCCUACGGGAGAAAGCAGGGGACCUUCGGGCCUUGCGCUAUCAGAUGAGCCUAGGUCGGAUUAGCUAGUUGGUGAGGUAAAGGCUCACCAAGGCGACGAUCCGUAACUGGUCUGAGAGGAUGAUCAGUCACACUGGAACUGAGACACGGUCCAGACUCCUACGGGAGGCAGCAGUGGGGAAUAUUGGACAAUGGGCGAAAGCCUGAUCCAGCCAUGCCGCGUGUGUGAAGAAGGUCUUCGGAUUGUAAAGCACUUUAAGUUGGGAGGAAGGGUCGUUACCUAAUACGUGACGAUUUUGACGUUACCGACAGAAUAAGCACCGGCUAACUCUGUGCC